ensembl:lncRNA
AUGAUAUUUAAUAUUUAUAUUUUUUGUAUGUGUGUACAUUUCAGAAUGACAAAGCCAAAAUUCAGGCCUUGCCCAAGCUGCCAAGUCCGUCAGCAGGCCAACCGCAAAACAUGCAGUGCUUGUUUUGCCACACUGCCAAGCAAGCGGUUAUUAAAAACUGCAAAAAUUAAUGAUGACUGGGGCCAGAGGGUCGUCAAAAACAAAAAUGCAUCUCGGGUGGUGGCCUCUGCCCAAAUAGCUGUCCAAAAACUUUCUGCCUUGGGCUAUAUGCCCAUAUUAUUUAUCAGCCAGAGGCACAAGGGCACAGGCAAGUUGAUGGCAGAUGUAGUCACGCAUCUGCCACCGACGCAAAACAACACACGUUUCUUAACCAGCAUGAAGAGGGCAUAUGACUUCAUAAUCAAACUGGAUGAUGUGCCCCAGCCCCAGCCCCAGCAAGACCAGCCCCUGCCCCUAGACCGGCUAAUCCCACAAGACCAGCCCCUAGACCAGCCCCUGCCCCUAGACCAGCCCCAGCAAGACCAGCCCCUGCCCCUAGACCAGCUAAUCCCACAAGACCAGCCUACCCCAACAGACCAGCAAAUUAUUACACUUGAACUAUUUACGAUCGACUCUCAGGCUCAGCAGCAUGUGGAGCCUCUACCACCCAGGAAAAGACAAACCCCACUAUCCACCCCGCGCCUACCAUCCACCCCAGGCCAAGGCAGACGAGCCCCACCAUCCAUCCAACCUCAACUAAAGAAAAGACAAACCACAGGUAAAGGAGCCACACAGGCCCCACCCUCUACCCUGGCCAAAAAAAGAAGAAAAACACAAAAAGUUGCAAAUGCAGUCGACAGACAAUUUAUCCAUACGAUAAAAUAUUGGGAAGACGGAUGA